rnacentral:misc_RNA from 1 species
AAGAAGGAUUCAAUGUGGAUGCUGCUUUCCAGUGCAUAGCCAAAAAUGCGCUCAAGAAUGAACCUGAAGAAGAAAUAUAUCUUCCUGACACAAUCGAUGUUGGGGGUGGAGGGCGGCAGCAAAGAUCCACGGGCUGUGAAUGUUAGAAGGAACUUCCAGACCCACAGGAUUUGCAUGUUAGAAGGAAUUUCCGACUCACUCCCUACGUUCUAUCUAUUGGAAAUGCAACUUUCAUUCAUAUGUUUCCAUUCAACAUCCAGUGAUUAUAACAGGGGGACUAAUAACUAGGAAGAGGGCACGCCAAAUUUCAUUUUGUAUCAUAUGCAACUGUGGGAGCACAGUUCCAUUAUUAAUAACUUU